ensembl:lncRNA
GUCACAUGACCUACCACUGGCAGCUGCCAGAAUCAGAGGGGGAGAGUUUACUGUCUUGAUCAUGUCUUGAUGAGGUCACCCGAUUGGACUGCUGCCAAGUUUACGCCCACUCACCCACUGACUCCCUCUCACCUAACCCACUGACUACUCUGCAGCAGCAAAAACAACCUAUUUUCUGAGAAAUGGUAGUGACCCAGAGUUCGAAGAGGGGCAGUCAUAUGUGGUAAAGAACUUCACCCUCUCACACAAAUACAGGCGGCCAUGCUUGUUUGCCAAUCAAGCAACAAUUAAAUUUAAAACAACUCCACUGGCCAUAACGGAGGAGGCCAAGAAAGCAGCAAAAGAGGCUCUCUGUCCACCUUCCCCACUAAAGACUGGUGAAGAUGACAUUUUUGACAACGGGAGCUACCUGAGUCUCCAGGAGCAGAUAGAAAAAGUUGAAGUGGCCAGGAUGACCAGAGGACAGGUGCCCAUCCUGGAUCUGCGGAUUAAAUGCGGUUCCACAGUACAAGAUAUUUCACUGUGGAGAGAAGAGGCACUAAGUGAGCUGUAUGUUGGGGACAUGGUGGAGCUCACCCACCUAAAGGCCACAAUAACACCAGAUGGAAAGGGAAAAUUUGCCUCUUCCAACUACACAACUGUCAAGAUUAUUGACUGGCAGAUCCAGGAGGAAGAACUGGAGAUAAUUGGGGUGUCAGAAAAAAAUGACAAACUAAUCCUUCUUGACAGUAGGCUGGACAACUAUGUUGUCCCAGCUCAUUUCUAUGCAGGCGACCUUGAUGACCUAGUAAACCAGCUACCACUAAAAAUGAAAGUUAGGGACAUACAAAGACAUGUUCUUGAAAUAGAAUGCCUGGAUUCACCUAAAAGUAAGGGAUCGCUGAAUCUACUGCAGGAUGGGACAUCCUUAGAUCCUGGUCAGAGUGGGGAAUCACUAGAUGGAGACAUGGAAUCCCUGGACGCAGCUGAGAGCAUGGAAUCACUUGAUCCAAUCGACUGUUGAUCCAAUCGAAUGUUGAAGACACUGGUUAAAGGGAAAGUUCACCCAAAAAUUAAAAUUUGAUGUUUAUCUGCUUACCCCAAGGGCAUCCAAGACGUAGGUGACUUUAUUUAAACUGAGAUUUUUAACUACUGAAGAAACAAAGUGACCUACAUCUUGGAUUUCCUGGGGGUAAGUAUCAAAUUUUCAUUUUUGGAUGAACUAUCCCUUUAAGU